rnacentral:rRNA from 1 species
UACGGGGGGAGCAAGCGUUGUUCGGAAUUAUUGGGCGUAAAGGGCGCGUAGGCGGCCUGUUAAGUCAGCUGUGAAAGCCCGGGGCUCAACCCCGGAGGGUCAGCUGAUACUGGCAGGCUAGAGUACGGAAGAGGUAGCUGGAAUUCCCGGUGUAGCGGUGAAAUGCGUAGAUAUUGGGAGGAACACCAGUGGCGAAGGCGGCUCACUGGACCGGAACUGACGCUGAGGCGCGAAAGCGUGGGGAGCAAACAGG